AACGAACGCUGGCGGCAUGCCUAACACAUGCAAGUCGAACGAGACCUUCGGGUCUAGUGGCGCACGGGUGCGUAACGCGUGGGAAUCCGCCCUUGGGUUCGGAAUAACAGUUGGAAACGACUGCUAAUACCGGAUGAUGACGUAAGUCCAAAGAUUUAUCGCCCAAGGAUGAGCCCGCGUAGGAUUAGCUAGUUGGUGAGGUAAAGGCUCACCAAGGCGACGAUCCUUAGCUGGUCUGAGAGGAUGAUCAGCCACACUGGGACUGAGACACGGCCCAGACUCCUACGGGAGGCAGCAGUGGGGAAUAUUGGACAGUGGGCGAAAGCCUGAUCCAGCAAUGCCGCGUGAGUGAUGAAGGCCUUAGGGUUGUAAAGCUCUUUUACCCGGGAUGAUAAUGACAGUACCGGGAGAAUAAGCUCCGGCUAACUCCGUG
rnacentral:rRNA from 1 species